rnacentral:rRNA from 1 species
GACGAACGCUGGCGGCGUGCUUAACACAUGCAAGUCGAACGAUGAAGCUAGAGCUUGCUCUGGUGGAUUAGUGGCGAACGGGUGAGUAACACGUGAGUAACCUGCCCCGAACUCUGGGAUAACUGCUGAAAACGGUAGCUAAUACCGGAUAUGACCAAUGAAGGCAUCUUCUGUUGGUGGAAAGAAUUUCGGUUCGGGAUGGACUCGCGGCCUAUCAGCUUGUUGGUGAGGUAACGGCUCACCAAGGCGACGACGGGUAGCCGGCCUGAGAGGGUGAUCGGCCACACUGGGACUGAGGCACGGCCCAGACUCCUACGGGAGGCAGCAGUGGGGAAUAUUGCACAAUGGGCGCAAGCCUGAUGCAGCAACGCCGCGUGAGGGACGACGGCCUUCGGGUUGUAAACCUCUUUUAGUAGGGAAGAAGCGAAAGUGACGGUACCUGCAGAAAAAGCACCGGCUAACUACGUGCCAGCAGCCGCCGUAA